rnacentral:rRNA from 1 species
GAUCCUGGCUCAGGAUGAACGCUAGCGGCAGGCCUAACACAUGCAAGUCGAGGGGUAUAUAGUGCUUGCACUAUAGAGACCGGCGCACGGGUGCGUAACGCGUAUGCAAUCUACCUUGUACAGGGGAAUAGCCCAGGGAAACUUGGAUUAAUGCCCCAUGGUAUUAUAAAAUGGCAUCAUUUAAUAAUUAAACAUUUAUGGGUAAAAGAUGAGUAUGCGUUCUAUUAGCUAGAUGGUAAGGUAACGGCUUACCAUGGCAACGAUAGAUAGGGGCCCUGAGAGGGGGAUCCCCCACACUGGUACUGAGACACGGACCAGACUCCUACGGGAGGCAGCAGUGAGGAAUAUUGGACAAUGGGCGCAAGCCUGAUCCAGCCAUGCCGCGUGCAGGAAGACGGCCCUAUGGGUUGUAAACUGCUUUUAUACAGGAAGAAACCUUUCCACGUGUGGAGAGCUGACGGUACUGUAAGAAUAAGCACCGGCUAACUCCGUGCCAGCAGCCGCGGUAAUACGGAGGGUGCAAGCGUUAUCCGGAAUCAUUGGGUUUAAAGGGUCCGUAGGCGGACUAAUAAGUCAGGGGUGAAAUCCCACAGCUUAACUGUGGAACUGCCUUUGAUACUGUUAGUCUUGAGAAUCGUUGUGAAGUGGUUAGAAUGAGCAGUGUAGCGGUGAAAUGCUUAGAGAUUGCUCAGAAUACCGAUUGCGAAGGCAGAUCACUAACAACGUAUUGACGCUGAGGGACGAAAGCGUGGGGAGCGAACAGGAUUAGAUACCCUGGUAGUCCACGCCGUAAACGAUGGAUACUAGCUGUCCGGUCUUCGGACUGGGUGGCCAAGCGAAAGUGAUAAGUAUCCCACCUGGGGAGUACGUUCGCAAGAAUGAAACUCAAAGGAAUUGACGGGGGCCCGCACAAGCGGUGGAGCAUGUGGUUUAAUUCGAUGAUACGCGAGGAACCUUACCAGGGCUUAAAUGUAGAUUGACAGGGGUAGAAAUACCUUUUCCUUCGGGCAAUUUACAAGGUGCUGCAUGGUUGUCGUCAGCUCGUGCCGUGAGGUGUCAGGUUAAGUCCUAUAACGAGCGCAACCCCUGCCGUUAGUUGCCAGCAUGUAAAGAUGGGAACUCUAACGGGACUGCCGGUGCAAACCGUGAGGAAGGUGGGGAUGACGUCAAAUCAUCACGGCCCUUACGUCCUGGGCCACACACGUGCUACAAUGGCCGGUACAGAGAGCAGCCACUCCGCAAGGUGGAGCGAAUCCUUAAAACCGGUCUCAGUUCGGAUCGGGGUCUGCAACUCGGCCCCGUGAAGCUGGAAUCGCUAGUAAUCGGAUAUCAGCCAUGAUCCGGUGAAUACGUUCCCGGGCCUUGUACACACCGCCCGUCAAGCCAUGGAAGCUGGGGGUGCCUGAAGUCGGUGACCGCAAGGAGCUGCCUAGGGUAAAACUAGUAACUAGGGCUAAGUCGUAACAAGGUA